AUUGAACGCUGGCGGCAUGCCUUACACAUGCAAGUCGAACGGCAGCAUGAUCUAGCUUGCUAGAUUGAUGGCGAGUGGCGCACGGGUGAGUAAUACAUCGGAACGUGCCCUGUAGCGGGGGAUAACUAGUCGAAAGAUUAGCUAAUACCGCAUACGACCUGAGGGUGAAAGUGGGGGAGUGCAAGGCCUCAUGCUAUAGGAGCGGCCGAUGUCUGAUUAGCUAGUUGGUGAGGUAAAGGCUCACCAAGGCGACGAUCAGUAGCUGGUCUGAGAGGACGAUCAGCCACACUGGGACUGAGACACGGCCCAGACUCCUACGGGAGGCAGCAGUGGGGAAUUUUGGACAAUGGGCGAAAGCCUGAUCCAGCAAUGCCGCGUGUGUGAAGAAGGCCUUCGGGUUGUAAAGCACUUUUGUCCGGAAAGAAAUGGCUCUGGUUAAUACCUGGAGUCGAUGACGGUACCGGAAGAAUAAGGACCGGCUAACUACGUG
rnacentral:rRNA from 1 species